UUUUUUUCUAUUUAGUUUUAUAUGAGAUUAUCACAUUCUCAUUUAUUUUUUUUUCCUUCAUUAUCAGAUAACAUCCUUCAACAUUUGAUUUUUUUUAAAAUUGUUUUUUUUUUCAAUUUCAUCAUUUAUCAUUUGAUUGAUCGAGAACGAGUCUUCAUGCCUUUUGUUUUUUCUUUUUUUUCUAUGGGGUUAUUCCAAUAUUAUGCCAAUAUACACGGGGUUAAAUGAUUAACUUGGUUUGACUAGGUUUUUUUUUAAAAAAAUAUUUUUUUCAGUUAUGCCCCUCAACAUUGGGUUAUUUCAUAAUUGAGCUUUAUGAUUUUAUUUA
rnacentral:lncRNA from 1 species